rnacentral:tRNA from 1 species
UGGGGAGUGGUGUAACGGGUGUGCACGGGGCACUUUGGAUGCUCAAGUCCGGGUUCAAAUCCUGGCUCCCCAG